CCACUGCUUCGUUCAACCCGAUGCCAUUUCAUUCUCCGGCAACCUGAACCUCCUUGUGAAUUUGCCACUGCUUCGUUCAACCCGAUGCCAUUUAUCAUUCUUAUCUUCUUUCUCCACAUUCCUCUCACCGGUGAUCUGUAAGAUGUUUCCGGCUUCUACCUCCACCUUCACUUCUUCUUUCUUCAUCCCAGGAAGAUCUGCCUUGAACACGUGAGCUUCCGGGGUUUCCUUCCAAUCCACACGGGCGUUUACCAAAGCAGAGGUUUCCCUUGAAACAUCAGACCAGGAUGAAAUUGGGAAGUCUUUGAAAGGGUCCCAAACGUCUAAGGAGAAUGGGUCGAAGACACUGCUGCUUCGGCCACCGAACAAGCUGGGGACGAUCGACAUUUGAGAAUGUUUGGUUGAAACUGUGGAAAGAAUGUAGAACUUGAUUACUGGAUUGCGUAGCAG
rnacentral:lncRNA from 1 species